UCCCUUGGUAUCCCCUUCGUAUUCGUGAGCAAGCACCACCACUCACCCACAUCUUGGAGGGUGUCGAAUUAAGGCUAAUGACCACCGCGGUAUAUGGGACAGCGACAAUGACGGUGACGAGGACGCAGCGGCGUCACUGUCCCUUGUCAGCAUUGUAGAGGCGCUAGAAGCAGCCAGCACGAAGGCAACCGGAGUGUUCGUAGCGGUAGUCGUGCAACGGUAGCAGCUGGUUUCGGGUAGCACCUAGCUGCCAGACGUUUGCUGCGGCUGCCUGUUUCCGUCCCUUAUUAUUACGCCAAGGUAAAGAGGAAGACAGAAUGUGACGAUGGAUGGCACAGAGCUGCAAGCCACCUCCGAACAGAGCAAAACCAAAAUGGAUUGGGUUAAAUAGAGACAAAACAAACGCUAGUGCGAGCGGAACAAUAGAAGCAGUAACAUUCCUCGCUCCCAUUACACACGUUCGCUUAAGAGGAGUGGCCGUAGCGGCACAAACGCACAUAUAAAAAACGGUGACGGUCGCCGCCGUUUACAUGCUGUGCGUGGCGCGUACAUUCGUGCGAAAUCUGCGACCCUGGAUACGACUUUAAUCACUGAUUGCAUCAAGCGUGGGUUUCCUAUGGAACAAGCACGCUCGUAGAGGACAGAGCAUGCUUCUGGUAGUGAUCGUAUGCACUGCCUUGAUGUACUUACCGCCGUACAGCAGCGAUAAGCGGGAUACAAAGACGACCUUAGCGUUGCAAUGCUGGACUAGGUACUGGGCCUCUUGGAUCGUCCUAUUCCAAACACGCUCCUGCACCCCCGGCCGGUGGUCCCGUAACAAGCGUUCGGCAUCAGCCAAAACCGUCAUCUCGUAGGCUCUGUUCCUUCGAAGAUUAGAGAGCGGAAUGGAGUACCUACUAAGUAGCUGCGAAGGCGAGGCUGCGGCUAAUGUAUACUAUCAAGCCGGGGGGGGUCAACUGCAUGGUGCCAAUACUAGUCGUAGCAUAGGACGACGAUUCAAUCUAGUUGCCUCUACUAACUCUCUUCUAAUCAAAGUAACCGUUCUUUUUCUAUCAAAUUCCAGUUACAUCCUGGUUACUCUAGGUUCCUGAUUUGUUUGUCCGUUGACCAGUCGCUGACCGAUUUUGGUACGGUCCACUUAAGCCUGUAGCGUCUAACCUUCCCCGCUCUCCCACUUCAGCAUACCUCGGUCUCUCACACUGGUCUUCUAUACGUAUUUAUUUACGGAGUUUACGGAGCUUAUUUACGGAGCUUCAGUACCUCAACUACGCCAUUGUGUAGUUUCAUACAGCGGGCAACAGCUGCCACUCUGAUUUCUGAGCUAUCUGUUAUUUUUUAGUUAUUUAUCUUUUACAAUAAAA